rnacentral:rRNA from 1 species
CUUGGUCAUUUAGAGGAAGUAAAAGUCGUAACAAGGGUUUCCGUAGGUGAACCUGCGGAAGGAUCAUUUAUGAGCGAGCCGAAAGGCAAGCAUAAUAUCCAUAACACCGUGAACUGUUGGCUUCGGCCAAAUUUUUUACAAACUAUGUGUAAUGAACGUAAAAUACAAUAAUCAAUAAAACUUUCAACAACGGAUCUCUUGGCUCUCACAUCGAUGAAGAACGCAGCGAAAUGCGAUAAGUAAUGUGAAUUGCAGAAUUCAGUGAAUCAUCGAAUCUUUGAACGCACCUUGCACCUUUUGGUAUUCCGAAAGGUAUGCCUGUUUGAGUGUCUUGAAACCUCACACUCUAAAGUUUUCUUUAGAGACGUGGAUUUGGGUGUUGCAAUUUGCUCACCUUGAAUGACUUAGUGGUUCCAACCGUAGCCUGAUGUAAUAAGUUUCAUCUGGUCAAGGGAAGACUGCUUCUAAUCGCCUCGCGGCAAUAUUUAAGACUAGACCUCAAAUCAGGUAGGACUACCCGCUGAACUUAAGCAUAUCAAUAAGCGGAGGAAAAGAAACUAACCAGGAUUCCCCUAGUAACGGCGAGUGAACCGGGAAGAGCUCAAAUUUAAAAUCUGGCGUCCUCCGGGCGUCCGAGUUGUAAUCUAUAGAAGUGUUUUCCGCGGUGGACCGUGUCCAAGUUCCUUGGAAAAGGAUAUCAGAGAGGGUGACAAUCCCGUCCUUGACACGACAACCAUUGCUCUGUGAUACACUCUCUACGAGUCGAGUUGUUUGGGAAUGCAGCUCAAAAUGGGUGGUAAAUUCCAUCUAAAGCUAAAUAUUGGUGAGAGACCGAUAGCGAACAAGUACCGUGAGGGAAAGAUGAAAAGCACUUUGGAAAGAGAGUUAAACAGUAUGUGAAAUUGUUGAAAGGGAAACGCUUGAAGU